rnacentral:misc_RNA from 1 species
UUUCCGUAGGUGAACCUGCGGAAGGAUCAUUACCGAGUGAGGGCCCUCUGGGUCCAACCUCCCACCCGUGUUUAUCGUACCUUGUUGCUUCGGCGGGCCCGCCUCACGGCCGCCGGGGGGCACCCGCCCCCGGGCCCGCGCCCGCCGAAGACACCAUUGAACGCUGUCUGAAGAUUGCAGUCUGAGCAUCUUAGCUAAAUCAGUUAGAACUUUCAACAACGGAUCUCUUGGUUCCG